GGGCCCGCACAAGCGGUGGAGCAUGUGGUUUAAUUCGAAGCUACGCGCAGAACCUUACCAACACUUGACAUGUCUGUCGCGGAAUUCAGAGAUGAAUUCCUUCGGUUCGGCCGGACAGAACACAGGUGCUGCAUGGCUGUCGUCAGCUCGUGUCGUGAGAUGUUGGUUAAGUCCCGCAACGAGCGCAACCCCUACUUCUAGUUGCCAUCAGGUUAAGCUGGGCACUCUAGUAGGACUGCCUGUGAUAAGCAGGAGGAAGGUUGGGAUGACGUCAAGUCCUCAUGGCCCUUACGUGUUGGGCUACACACGUGCUACAAUGGCCGGUACAAACGGUUGCGAACCCGCGAGGGGAAGCUAA
rnacentral:rRNA from 1 species